rnacentral:rRNA from 1 species
GACGAACCGUGCAAACGUUGUUCGGAAUCACUGGGCUUAAAGGGCGCGUAGGCGGCUCGCCAAGUCGGGGGUGAAAUCUUUCGGCUCAACCGGAAAAGUGCCUUCGAUACUAGCGGGCUUGAGCGAGGUAGGGGCAUGUGGAACUUCCGGUGGAGCGGUGAAAUGCGUUGAUAUCGGAAGGAACGCCGGUGGCGAAAGCGACGUGCUGGACCUCUUCUGAUGCUGAGGCGCGAAAGCUAGGGUAGCGAACGGG